AUGAACGCUGGCGGCGUGCUUAACACAUGCAAGUCGCACGAUGAACCUCACUUGUGGGGGGAUUAGUGGCGAACGGGUGAGUAACACGUGAGUAACCUGCCCUUGACUCUGGGAUAAGCCUGGGAAACCGGGUCUAAUACUGGAUACGACCUUCUGGCGCAUGCCAUGUUGGUGGAAAGCUUUUGUGGUUUUGGAUGGACUCGCGGCCUAUCAGCUUGUUGGUGGGGUAAUGGCCUACCAAGGCGACGACGGGUAGCCGGCCUGAGAGGGUGACCGGCCACACUGGGACUGAGACACGGCCCAGACUCCUACGGGAGGCAGCAGUGGGGAAUAUUGCACAAUGGGCGCAAGCCUGAUGCAGCGACGCCGCGUGAGGGAUGAAGGCCUUCGGGUUGUAAACCUCUUUCAGUAGGGAAGAAGCCGGCUUUUGGGUUGGUGACGGUACCUGCAGAAGAAGCGCCGGCUAACUACGUG
rnacentral:rRNA from 1 species